UACUUUUUUUUAUUUCAGUGGUGUAGAGGCUAAACAGCCCAAUUCUGCCAUCAGGAAAUGUGUCAGAGUUCAGCUGAUCAAGAACGGCAAGAAAAUAACAGCCUUUGUUCCUAAUGACGGUUGCUUGAACUUCAUUGAGGAAAAUGAUGAAGUUCUAGUUGCUGGCUUUGGUCGGAAAGGUCACGCUGUUGGUGACAUUCCUGGUGUCCGCUUCAAGGUUGUCAAAGUAGCCAAUGUUUCUCUCUUAGCCUUGUACAAAGGCAAGAAAGAGAGACCACGAUCAUAAAUUCCUGUCAUGCCAUCUAGGCUACUAAUAAACUUCAGUUUGAUAAACGG